AUUUAGAAAGCAAAGAUGCCAACCUCUUGACACAAAAAAUCAGACUGAAUAUCCUCAAAAAUCAUAUUUUUUAGUGAAAAAUCAGAUUUUCAC